AGAUGAGUUCUCCCUGACCCUUUAAGGGUCCUGAAGGAACGUUGAAGACGACGACGUUGAUAGGCCGGGUGUGUAAGCGCAGCGAUGCGUUGAGCUAACCGGUACUAAUGAACCGUGAGGCUUAACCUU
rnacentral:rRNA from 1 species